rnacentral:rRNA from 1 species
UACAGAGGGUGCGAGCGUUAAUCGGAAUUACUGGGCGUAAAGCGUGCGUAGACGGUUAUUUAAGUCGGGUGUGAAAGCCCCGGGCUCAACCUGGGAAUUGCAUUCGAGACUGAAUAGCUAGGGUACGGUAGAGGGAAGCGGAAUUUCCGGUGUAGCGGUGAAAUGCGUAGAUAUCGGAAGGAACAUCCAUGGCGAAGGCAGCUACCUGGACCAACACUGACACUGAGGCACGAAAGCGUGGGGAGCAAACAGG